rnacentral:rRNA from 1 species
UCGCCUGUUUAACAAAAACAUUUCCUCCUAGUACAGGAGGUAAGGCCUGCUCACUGAAUAAUUUUGAAGAGCCGCAGUAUUUUGACUGUGCUAAGGUAGCAUAAUCAUUAGUCUUUUAAUUGGAGACUGGUAUGAAUGGCUAAACGAGAAAUCAGCUUUUUUUGUUAUAAAAAUUUAAGUUAUUUUUUUAGUGAAAAAACUAAAAUUUUCUAAAAAGACGAGAAGACCCUAUAGAGUUUUAUACAGUAAAGAUCUUUGCUAUAAUGGAUUUGUAAUGGUAAAUUUCUGUUCUGUAAUUUGUUGGGGCGACAUAAAGAUAUAAAAAACUCUUUUUUAUAAAAACUUUUAUAAAAGAAUGAAAUGAUCCUCUAAAAGAGAUCAUAAGAAAAAAUUACCUUAGGGAUAACAGCGUAAUCUUUUUUGAGAGUUCUAAUCGACAAAAAGGUUUGCGACCUCGAUGUUGGACUAAAAUUUAGGCAUGGUGCAGUAGCUUUGCUGAAAGGUCUGUUCGACCUAUAAUAUUUUACAUGAUCUGAGUUCAAACCGGA